UACGUAGGGGGCAAGCGUUGUCCGGAUUUAUUGGGCGUAAAGAGCGUGUAGGCGGCCAGACAGGUCAGCUGUGAAAACUCGAGGCUCAACCUCGAGACGUCGGUUGAAACCGUCUGGCUAGAGUCCGGAAGAGGAGAGUGGAAUUCCCGGUGUAGCGGUGAAAUGCGCAGAUAUCGGGAGGAACACCAGUGGCGAAGGCGGCGACCUGGGCCAAUAUUGACGCUGAGGUGCGAAAGCGUGGGGAGCAAACAGG
rnacentral:rRNA from 1 species